ACGGGUGAGUAAUACAUCGGAACGUACCGUGUAGUGGGGGAUAACUUAGCGAAAGUUAGGCUAAUACCGCAUACGAUCUACGGAUGAAAGUGGGGGACCUUCGGGCCUCACGCUAUACGAGCGGCCGAUGUCUGAUUAGCCAGUUGGUGAGGUAAAGGCUCACCAAGGCGACGAUCAGUAGCGGGUCUGAGAGGAUGAUCCGCCACACUGGGACUGAGACACGGCCCAGACUCCUACGGGAGGCAGCAGUGGGGAAUUUUGGACAAUGGGCGAAAGCCUGAUCCAGCCAUGCCGCGUGUCUGAAGAAGGCCUUCGGGUUGUAAAGGACUUUUGUCAGGGAGCAAAACUUAAGGGUUAAUAACCUUUGAGGUUGAGAGUACCUGAAGAAUAAGCACCGGCUAACUACGUGCCAGCAGCCGCGGUAAUACGUAGGGUGCAAGCGUUAAUCGGAAUUACUGGGCGUAAAGCGUGCGCAGGCGGACUUUUAAGCCAGAUGUGAAAGCCCCGAGCUUAACUUGGGAACCGCGUUUGGAACUGAAAGUCUAGAGUCUGUCAGAGGGGGAUGGAAUUCCAAGAUUCAUGGUCUCUG
rnacentral:rRNA from 1 species